rnacentral:lncRNA from 12 species
GAUUCUGCCAAAUGUCCAGAAUUCCCUAUUGCAGUUGAUGCUAUGGCAUUCUUCUUAGAGUUUGACUAGUUUUAUGCACUAUUCAUUCCAAAGCAAAGAGACAAAACACAGGAUGAGACAGAAAGGAGAAGAGUCAGGAUAAGAGUCUUGCAGGUAGGUAAGGAAGAAAAGUUUAUUUUUUUCUACCUUUUAGGGACUAUGUAUAAGAGAUAUGACAGCAGCUAUGGUGUAUGAGGAAAAC